UACGUAGGGUGCGAGCGUUAAUCGGAAUUACUGGGCGUAAAGUGUGCGCAGGCGGCAGAGCAAGUCGAGUGUGAAAGCCCCGGGCUUAACUUGGGAAUUGCGCUCGAAACUACUUUGCUGGAGUGUGGCAGAGGAAGGUGGAAUUCCACGUGUAGCGGUGAAAUGCGUAGAGAUGUGGAGGAAUACCGAUGGCGAAGGCAGCCCCCUGGGAUAACACUGACGCUCAUGCACGAAAGCGUGGGGAGCAAACAGG
rnacentral:rRNA from 1 species